AUUGAACGCUGGCGGCAGGCCUAACACAUGCAAGUCGAGCGGAUGAAGGGAGCUUGCUCCUGGAUUCAGCGGCGGACGGGUGAGUAAUGCAUAGGAAUCUGCCUGGUAGUGGGGGAUAACGUCCGGAAACGGGCGCUAAUACCGCAUACGUCCUGAGGGAGAAAGUGGGGGAUCUUCGGACAUCACGCUAUCAGAUGAGCCUAGGUCGGAUUAGCUAGUUGGUGGGGUAAAGGCCUACCAAGGCGACGAUCCGUAACUGGUCUGAGAGGAUGAUCAGUCACACUGGAACUGAGACACGGUCCAGACUCCUACGGGAGGCAGCAGUGGGGAAUAUUGGACAAUGGGCGAAAGCCUGAUCCAGCCAUGCCGCGUGUGUGAAGAAGGUCUUCGGAUUGUAAAGCACUUUAAGUUGGGAGGAAGGGCAGUAAGUUAAUACCUUGCUGUUUUGACGUUACCAACAGAAUAAGCACCGGCUAACUUCGUG
rnacentral:rRNA from 1 species